GCAGUCGAGCGGAUGACGGGAGCUUGCUCCUUGAUUCAGCGGCGGACGGGUGAGUAAUGCCUAGGAAUCUGCCUGGUAGUGGGGGACAACGUUUCGAAAGGAACGCUAAUACCGCAUACGUCCUACGGGAGAAAGCAGGGGACCUUCGGGCCUUGCGCUAUCAGAUGAGCCUAGGUCGGAUUAGCUAGUUGGUGAGGUAAUGGCUCACCAAGGCGACGAUCCGUAACUGGUCUGAGAGGAUGAUCAGUCACACUGGAACUGAGACACGGUCCAGACUCCUACGGGAGGCAGCAGUGGGGAAUAUUGGACAAUGGGCGAAAGCCUGAUCCAGCCAUGCCGCGUGUGUGAAGAAGGUCUUCGGAUUGUAAAGCACUUUAAGUUGGGAGGAAGGGCAGUAAGUUAAUACCUUGCUGUUUUGACGUUACCGACAGAAUAAGCACCGGCUAACUCUGUGCCAGCAGCCGCGGUAAUACAGAGGGUGCAAGCGUUAAUCGGAAUUACUGGGCGUAAAGCGCGCGUAGGUGGUUCGUUAAGUUGGAUGUGAAAGCCCCGGGCUCAACCUGGGAACUGCAUCCAAAACUGGCGAGCUAGAGUACGGUAGAGGGUGGUGUAAUUUCCUGUGUAGCGGUGAAAU
rnacentral:rRNA from 2 species